rnacentral:rRNA from 1 species
UACGUAGGGUGCAAGCGUUGUCCGGAAUUAUUGGGCGUAAAGAGCUCGUAGGCGGUUUGUCGCGUCUGCUGUGAAAACUCGGGGCUUAACCCCGGGCCUGCAGUGGGUACGGGCAGACUAGAGUGCGGUAGGGGAGACUGGAAUUCCUGGUGUAGCAGUGAAAUGCGUAGAUAUCAGGAGGAACACCGAUGGCGAAGGCAGGUCUCUGGGCUGACACUGACGCUCAUGCACGAAAGCGUGGGGAGCGAACAGG